GACGUAGGGCGCGAGCGUUGUCCGGAUUUAUUGGGCGUAAAGAGCUCGUAGGCGGCUUGUUGCGUCGACCGUGAAAACCCGGGGCUCAACUUCGGGCUUGCGGUCGAUACGGGCGGGCUAGAGUUCGGUAGGGGAGACUGGAAUUCCUGGUGUAGCGGUGAAAUGCGCAGAUAUCAGGAGGAACACCGGUGGCGAAGGCGGGUCUCUGGGCCGAUACUGACGCUGAGGCGCGAAAGCUAGGGGAGCAAACGGG
rnacentral:rRNA from 1 species